rnacentral:lncRNA from 1 species
GAAGUGCAGCUGAAUGGACUCUCUAGGACGAUCGCAUAGUACUGAUUGCAGUAGGAGUCGGUGGGCCUCGAGUAGGUGGGCCUCCGUAGGGAGCCAGCGUGGAUCGAGUGCGGGGCCUGGACUUCCCGCCCCCUCCGCACUGCAGACUCUGCGGUGAUUUAAAGAAACUUCCUUCUACUACUUAAAGUCCUCACAUUGGGCUGACCUGGGAAACAUGAAGAUAAAAAGAGUGGGUAAACAUGCCUGCUUGAUGAGCCAGAAAAAAAGGCAGAAACCUGUGGUCUGGGUAGAACAGAUCCUGCUCAGAAUGUAUAAACCAGGAAAAGUUGUUCUGGCCCCUCAUCUGGUUUCAUGAAGGACAAUAUCUAGCAUGAGAGUGACAGGGGUUAGAAUAAUGGACAUUUUGGGGACUGGGUCCUAGCAGAAAUGAUGGAAUAAUGGAACAGGAGUUUGGAUGAAUGGGCAUAUUAUGGGAUUAAAGAAGAUUUGAAUACAAGCUUUCCUAAUAAAUGAAAGGGGAGGUGAAACUAGAGCAUGCUGAUGGCUGCACAGCAUUGUGAAUGCACUAAAUGCACUAACUGUCCACUUUAAAAUGUUUAGUAAUAUGUCGAUUUUACCUAAAUAAAAAAAAGGAAGCAACAAAAAAAAA